AGAACCUGAGCCAAGUCGGUUAAGGCCGGGGUCUCUGAAAUCCUGAUCAGUGGUUCAAAUCCACUACCUUCUGCCA
rnacentral:tRNA from 1 species